GUGCGCACAAGAUUGUGUCUAUGUAUAUAGUAUAGUAACAAAAAAACAAAGUCCCAUAACUCUGCAAAUUUUUUUUCUAAAAGAACCUACCAUGCCCUAUGCACAACUUCUGUUGGUACUGAUCACUUGUGUGAAGUUUCAUUAAAUUCUGUCAAGGGGAUAAGGAGAGAUGGUGCGCACAAGAUUGCGUCUAUGGACAGACGGCCAGACGACAGACGGACAGACAGACAGACAACCUGAAACCAGUAUACCCCCCCUUACAACUUUGUUGUCGGGGGGUACAAUUAGCAAAAGUUUGACCGUUAAAGUACAACUGCUUGUUACAUGACUGAUAACAGCCUACUAGAGAAAGAAUAUUUAGACAUCAGACCUGUAAAAUUAAUAGUGGUAUUACGCCUGAGGCAAAAUAUUUCGUUCAAAAUCAGUUGUUUCCCCUUAGCUAUGUUUCCGGUUUCGGAUUUUACCAGAGGAAGCAUGUGAAGUUUACUUUUGUUUAACUACCUUUUGUUCAACAAUGCAGGGAUCUGAGACUUGUAAUACUGUUUACUAAUUUGGCAAGUACCGUUUAUAAACAGUUGUUAAUGUAGAUUCUCUAAUAUAUUUGAAACUUUCACGAAAUAAGUCUGCCUUUUACCCGGAAGUGAAUCCAAAACAUACUGAGGGAAAUUUAUGAAAUUUAUCUUGUGGCCACUAAGCACAGAUGAUUUCAUUAUGCCUGUGUAUUUAAUAUAAAAUGGCCAGUUGGGUUAUCACAAAUAUUAUUGAAAGCAGGCAGCUUCUUACUCAAGGUGACCAAGAUUCAUCAAAUUAUUGCAUUGUCCAUAGUAAGCAUUAGUGUGGAAAAAUACAAUAUACAUGUAGCUAUGAUAAUUAAUAAAUUUGAUCAAAGAAGUAUAAAAUUAUUUUUAUAGCUCUUUGAUUUGAUGCAGACUUAUAGAUGCCUGCCUAUGUCACAUCAUUUCGAGAAAAGUCCCCUCUCACAGUAGUAGCCGAGGUAUUUUAAAAGGAAAUAUGUAGAUGUCCGGUAACUGGAUGCCUACCCUGCAUUCUAGCUAUCCGGCAACAAGACAACUACUAGCCUCUCCGCGAAUGUUUUUCUAGCUGUUCGGCAAUCUUUUUAUAUAUGAAUACUGUAAUGAAUAAAUUUAUUGUAUCAUAUUUUUUUUUGGCACAGGUUUGAAUAUUCACCAGUAAGGCUUAUUCAGACAAUAUUUUAAAAUUCAUUACCGGACGGCGGACGCCUAGAAAACCCCUAUAGGAUAGGAUAGGCUAGCCAUCCUGUUACCGGUUGGCUAGAACACUGGCUAGGUUUCUGGUUACCGGAUGUCUACACUUCCAUUUAUAAAAUGGUAACUGUUUUUGCUGUGGGUCUCAUAAGUCAUGUUAUUUCUGUCUGGUGACUACUUUCUUUCCAUUAUUGUUGAUUCAGAAUGUUUUGUAACAGGAUGAUUGUAUAUGGAUAGUAGGAAUUUAUGCUAUAUAAUGAAAAUCUUUUUAUUUUUGAAAAUUUUGAGCCUUGCUGUGUGUAAAACAAUUUAUGAUCCUUUAGAAAAUAUAUUCAUAGUAUAAUAACUUUUAAAGUAUUUUGUGGUAAGUUAAUGAAACCUUUCACAAUCACAUUAUUAAUUUAGUAUUCAGUUUUUGAUUUUUAGUGAUGUUUACAGUACAUGUAAUGUAUCUUCUUUCAGAUAAUUUUCCUUGUUCCUUUGAUGGUUCAUUCCACUACAACUGGUUCAUAUACCCUACAACAGCAAGGAAAUUGGUCUGUUUACUUUAAGAUCUCAAGAAAGUGUAACAUAUUUUGGAUGUGCUUUGAGGAAUUAGGAAGGCAAGUGUUUCCUCUUGUUUAUGAAAGCAACUCAGUUGGUGAAGAGGCAGACAACUUGUGAGCAUGGUACAUCACCACCUGAAUUGGUAUUCCAUUUUGACAAUGCUGCUAGCUAGAAUAGAAGUAACAUCUUGCUGUGGUAUGGUCUGUGGAGAGUUUUACUAGGAUAUCACAGAUCGAUUGAAUAUUCAACCACGAUCACAGACCACGCAAAGUUUGAAUCUGACUUGCACUUCUGAAUUUAGAAGAAGGAGGAGGGUGAAUGCUGAGAUUUUUAAUAAUACAUGAUAUUGCUGACACAGUGUGUCAGUCAUCAAAGAAAGGUCAUAACAUUGCACAGUUGGUCAACAAUGAUUUAAAUCCUGUCACAUUCUACCAGUGGAGAAAUAUCUUAUCACAAUAUUUUAAACUUUUGAAGAAGAUAACCAAGUAUUACCACGUUUAUCAUGUCUGCAGAAACACCUGGAUUGUUAGUGUUAAAAGUGACAGUCCAGUUGAGACAGUUAACUUACUAAAAUAUACCCCCACCUCCCCCCUGCCAAACGAAUAUUAUUGAUAUGGAAUGACACAAGUCUGACAAUGGUACCUGUAUGAACUCAUAAGAGAAUAGUAUUCAUCUGAAAAGUCAAAGGAUUCUGUUUGUCCCAAACCACUUGAACUGAAAACUGGAAUUGUGACUGACGAGGAUUUUUCUGAGAACUGAAAUAAGGAAGUGAAUGUAAAAGAUAGAAAUUGUUGUUGAAUUCAAACGUUUUAAUACACAACACUUUAGCCUGUUUUGCUGUUAAGAUUAAACAUCAAGUAAAGGUUGUAGUUUCAGUUACCUACAUUAAAGUAUUGACUGGAAAUAAAUAUUUACUUUUCACCAGAGCUUGUAGCAGUGUAACCUUCAUCAAAAGUUAAGCUGAUGUGUUAAUUAUUAAAGUAUUUUUAGAAAAAAGAAUUUAGUAUGUAUGUUGCCAUGGUAACAUAAUUCAAAUAAUAUUUCAUUGAAAUUAUGGAUUUGUAUUUCAAUAAGGGAUCUACAGUAUAUAUUGUAAUGGUAAAAGAAAGUUCACUUUCUUCAGUAUUGUCAGUUAUAACUAGCCAGUGAAAAAACAGAUUAUGAGGAAAGGGAUGACUGAAAUGUUUAUUCUUACGAUAACUACUUUUGUUACAGAACAUGACUUUUUAAAAGUUUUUAUGUGAAAUUUUCAGAUUUCUUUCCUGAAUACUUAUACUUUCAAAUAUUUAACUUAUUAGAAAUACUUUUUUAAAAUAAGCUCUUGUUUUUAAGUAUUAUUGUAGGAAAAGGGAAUUUAAAGCAUAUGUCGCCAUGGUAACACAAUUUUCUUAGAAAAUAUGGAAAUUUUUUAAUUAGCUGUACUUUCUAGUAUUCUACUUUAAAAUAAGCAUAAACAAUAAAAAAAAUCAAUAGUAAUAUAUGUUUCAUUUAUUUCAAAAUAGUCAUGUAUUACCAGCAGGUAAAAGGCAAGUUAUGAAGAAACAAUGACAGAAGUGUCUUAUUCUUAUAGUUAUUACUCAUGUUACAAACACUGUCAUAAAACAAAACGUUUAAAUUUUUUAACAUGGAAUUUUGAGAUACUUUUGAAUACAUACCACUUUAUAAUAUUCAAGUUAUCUGAAACACUUUUUCCAAAUUUAGCUCUUUUUUAAAGUAUUAUUGUAGAAAACAGAGUCGAAUGCAUAUGUUGCCAUGGUAACAUAAUUUAAUAAUGUUUUUAUAGAAAAUGUGAAGGACUUUAGCCAGCUAGAUGUUUGCACUUUAAGUGAAUAUCUAAAUAUUCUUUGUAAAAGAAGAUUCAUUUAUUUAAAAAUAGCCAGUGAUUACCAAUAAGUGAAAACACAAACUGAAGAAAAAACGACUGAAAUAGUUUAUUCUUGUGGUUAUUAUCCAUGUUAUGAAAUCUGUCAUAAAACCAAAUAUUUUAUAUCUUUUCAUAUAAAGUUUUCAAGUUUUACUUUUGAAUACAUAUACUUCUAAAUAUUCAACUUAUAAGAAACAUUAUUUUAAAUUAAACUUUUAUUUUUAAGUACUAUUGUAGAAAAAGCAAUUUAUUGCAUAUGUUGCCAUGGUAACGCAAUUUGAAUAAUGUUUUCAUAGAAAAUAUGAAAGGUUUAAAUUAGCUGUAUUUUUCUGUUUUAAGUAAGCAUCACAAAAACAAAAUUUCAUAGUAAUAGAAGUUUUUUUUUCCAAAGUAGUCAUUUAUUAUCAGCAUGUAAACCACAAGUUAUGAAGAAACAAUGACAAAUCUAUCUUAUUCUUAUGGUUAUUACCAAUGUUACAAAAACUGUCAUAAAACCAAACAUUCCUAAUAUUUUCAUGGGAAAUUUUCAUUUAUUUUUGUAAAUACAUAUGCCUUAAAAUAUUUUACUUUUUAAAAUCCUUAUUCCAAGCGAACAUGUUUUUUUUAAAGUUUUAUCAUAGAAAAGGGAUUUUAAUAUAUUUGUUGCCAUGGUAACACAAUUUUAGAAAUAUUUUUAUAGAAAUUGUUGUAGAUUUUAAUUGAUUAUCAUUUUGUGUAUUAAGAAGGGAUCUUACUUAUAUCAUGCAAUUGUAACAAAAGAUAAAUUUAUUUCAGAAUUGUUAGGCAUUACCAGUAUGUGAGAAAUAAACUAGAAAGAAAGGAUAA